AGAGUGGGGGUUGUGCUUAAGCUCUACUUCGAGAAAGCAUAUGACAAAGUGAACUGGGAGUUCCUGUUAGACUGCCAUAGAAUGAGGGGUUUCAAUGAAACCUGGUGUGGAUGGGUGAAGCAAAUUUUGUACAAUGGUACAGUUAACAUAAAGUUAAACAAUGUAGUGGGGCCGUAUUUCCAAAGCGUAAAAGGAGUGCGCCAAGGGGAUCCUCACUCACCUUUCCUUUUUAACUUGAAUGCAGAUUGCCUUUCUAAGAUGAUCAACAAGGCUCAGCAGAAUGGUCUACUGAUUGGGCUCGCAUCUGAUCUUAUACCAAACGAGGUAGCUGUCUUGCAAUACGCGGACGAUACGAUCAUUUGCCUUGAG
rnacentral:rRNA from 1 species